UAUGUCUCUUCUAAUGGUUUAGUAAUAAAACACAAUUAGUGAUAUAGAAAUGUCUUCAUCAAAAGCCAAACCUACACCUGGCCAUCAACAUUACGUAAAUUGCAGUGCAAAAAGACCAAUUCCUUUACAUGUUCUGGAUCCAGGCAUUGCCUCUUGGAAGUGACAAUGUUCCCAGAAGCAGAAAAACAACGUUCUGAACUUCACUUCUUCUUCUGAAAAUUAAAAACGGCAAAAAAAGUUUAAGAAAGUAAACAGAUCUUCGAUGUAUCAGUUUUAUUUUCCGCAAUGAAUAGUCAAGCGAUUACCAAUCAAUAUAUCGAAGAGUGGUUUACUACAACUGCUCGUAAGCAUGGUCAAUAUUCUGUUCUCAGAGUCUUUUGGAAUCAAACGUGUCAAGGCAAAAUAAUUUUUAAUGAAUUUUGUUUAUCGUGUCUUUUUAAUUUUAUUUAAUUAUUUACGUAACAUUUUCGGUAGUUCAAAAAGUGAUUGCACUGGAGCAAUUCUAACACAAUUCUCUGGCCAUGGGCCGCUCUGCUGGCCAUAACCACAAACGGACAUGUUUUCUUUUUUGCUGUAGCCAUGAUGGCAGCUGUGUUUACUUUUCUAUCGUAAAAAAAAAUUUAUCUAGAUUUGUAUUAGUAAAAUUAAUAGAAUGGUGACCAAAGAGUAUGUGUGCAUUAGUUUUUAAAGGUUAUUAUUGAAAGCUGAUGCACUGGCAUUGUUUUAAAUAGUUUUACACUUUUAUAUGGCACAUGGCUCGCCAAAAAAUUGUGCUAAGGACAACUGGAUAUAAUAAAUUAAUUAUGCUACACAUCACGUAAAGUUUGCAGUAAAAUCGCAUGGCGCUCCGGGGGCUCCCACGAGGGGCUCACCUGGACAGGACCUUGGAGAUGCCGAAGUCGCCGACCUUGACGACGCAGGCGGGGCCGCCCGUCAGGAAGAUGUUGGCCGUCUUGAGGUCGCGGUGCAGGAUCCUGUGGGAGUGGACGUGCUGAACGGCCAGGACCGCCUGGCAGAACAGGUGCAGCACGGACUGCAGCACCAGGCACCGGCUCUUGUCACGACCGCGCUCGGCGUCUCUCUGCCUCGCUGAACAGUUCAUUCUGCUUUUUACAAUGUCACUGUCAGCACACACUUCAUUGUACUUGAAUAUAACAUUAAUGUUAUCUUCGAAAGAUUUGUGCAAUGGGAGUGCAUGACUUGAUGUAAGCUUUCGGACAUACGCCAUUGCCAAGCACUUUUUCUGUAGAAGAAAACUAAAAAAUACCCAAAAGACAAAAACAAAAAUUAAGCAAAAAAAAUUGCUGUUGUCAACAGGAUAUAAACACCACAUAUUAUUCCAUAACAGGAGUAUGGUCAACAAACAAAGAAAAACAAAGAAAAAUGGACUAAGAGAACGGAAAAAAAAAACCACAAAUGAUGACAGCACAAAAAUAUUGAAACCAAAAAAAUUCAGCACAACAGUUGAAACGAGACAAAACAAAAAAAAAGACAAAAAAUGAAAAGACGAAACAAACACAAUAAUUUUCCAAAACAGAAACAAACGACAUUUCGUGAACUGUUAUCUGCUUCCGUCCUCAGGCAGAGACGCACAUGGUACGAAAACACAGGUGCGACUCAUACUUUGGGUAUUUUUUAGUUUUCUUCUACAGAAAAAGUGCUUAGCAAUGGCGUAUGUCCAAAUGCUUACGUCAAGUUAUAACAUAAAUGUUAAGCAUACAAAAAAAAAAAUGUCAAUAUUCCCACUUUUGAGACAAAUUUGAGACGUCCCAUGAUUCCCUCUUCAUUCUUAAUCUCUGUCAGCUCCACAUGUCCCUAGUUAGUACCUUGUUGCACGACUCUCUCCUAUUUUAAGGAAAACUAAGUUUCCCUUUUUAUCUUGGGUGUAAAAAAUGACUUUUUUUUAAGUAUUUAAAAUUUUUUAUAAAACUAUUCAGUUUAAAUGUCUAUUUUGUCCUGAGGCAUGGUUAGAAUACACUAGUUUACCUGGAAACAAUUAAAUAGACUACAAGCUGAAGUCAUUCCUUUGAACUAAAAACACAUCUCAUUAGAUACUGCAGAUGCUAUUAUUCCCAAUUUAAAGUGCUCCGUUACUGAAAUUGAAUGUAUAUAUGUAGUCCCCUAUUCCCACCAUCACUGGCCAGAACUGUCACUUUAUCCAACCUCAGGUGUCUGGGCAUGUUGAUACUUGUCUAGCGUAGAUCUGACCCUUCGCUGUGUCAUGAAUCACGGUGAACCAGAGAGUCACAGCACAGUGAUUCUUAGCAUGAGGAAAGUGUCUCGACCCGUGUACUGUUUCAUGUUUCAAUGUGCACCGACACCUCAGCUAUGAGGUAUGCAUUGUAUCGCGAAACAACGCACAAAUAAUGUCGCUCUGCCUGUUAGCUUUUACAAACAUCAGCGCUUUUUUUUUUGUGGCUGACAGCCUAGUGUUGCCGAAUUUUGUUCUGUUCCAUUUUCAUACAGGUUUAUUUUAUUGUAAAUUGCCGUUCUGGUUUCACAAUGAGACAAAACUGUGUUUCACUUGGUAGACAGUCAAGUAAUCAUGCACCAGUGUCAACACAAAGUCUCGAAACAGUAAGCUGUUCAAAUUAGUAAAAAUACUUUAGAACAAUAUCCACCUCUGCUGUUCUUACAAAAUGGAAUGUUUGUUCUCACAGUGAGGAAAACAUAUUAAAAUUUUUUUUUAGAACUUGAAAAAACCACCAAGAUUUUGGAGUUCUACACUGUCAUAAACCUCCAGCUUGCGCAACUUAACCUGCUAUGUACCUUUUGGACAGUCCCACCAAAAUUACCUUUUGUCACUUAGUGUAACUGUUUUUUUAUAUCUUAAUUAGCAUAUAUGUUUUAUUUUUAAUCCGGUUUGUAAAGUGUACUGUAAUAUUUUUUUAUCUCGCAUCCUCCAAAUGUAUCUCAUCACCAGCGAGCGUGAAGUGGCAGUGUAGCUCUUGGACUUCCGUGUAGCAAGAUAGCUACAUUGUGUGGGCCGCGUAUCCUCGCAAAUUCUUCGUGGACUUGCCUACUCAACAAAGUUACUACAGCAUAUUGUAGCAUACAAAUGCAGAGAGCCCAUGGUGUCAGUGCAAUAUCCUCCGUUAUUUUAUGAAAGCAUCUCUAUCACUUUUAAUGCAGAGUAUUGGCACCAGGUUUGAAAACAUGUACAGAACUUUCUUACACUCAAGUCACACACGAGUCUGUAUACCCGAAAAAUCACGUACGUUACAUAAGCGAUUUAAGAUAUGUACUUAAUUCAUAAAGACAAGAUUAUAUGGUGAAUUGCAAUAAAACCAAAAUAGCACUGAAAAGCAUAAUACAGAAAUGCAGGUUAUAUCAUGGAAUUCAGUUGCAUUACUUAAUUCAGAUAAAAAAAAAAGUAAUCUUUUAAUAUUUGGAAUUCAAGGAAUGACUUUUUUUUUUAGACAAAAAACUGUGCCAAAGUGCAUGAAUCUGAAAAAUUUAUUUAAUUUGUUUUAUUGUUCAGAAUGUUAUUUGUUUUAGCCCAAUUUAUUACAAACUGUUUUAUCAUAAAUAUGCAAUAUAUAAUUUUUACCAUUAUUUUGGAGGAGCAAGUAUUACAAAACAGCUAUUAUAAAAAUAAAACCAUAAAAUCUUGUCUGUACGGAUUCAAGCGCUCGCGACAAAACCCCUGUACCGAGGAAGCUGCACCUUCUGGGGCAACAAGCGCCCGUCCCUCCGGGCGAUGAACUCCUGGAGCGUCCCGCCGCUGGCGAACUCCAUCACGAUGCUGAACACGCUGUCCUCGUGGAAGCUGUCGAGGUACCGGACUAUGCAGGGGUGGGUCAGCAUCGACAGCACCCGCACCUCGUUCCUGGCGGCCUGCACACACGAGCCGGCGAGACAGCAUCACAUUUAUGUCCGCUUAGUUUGAAAGUAUUUAUAAUGCAACUGACCUGACCUAAUUGACCAUCUUAAUUAAUUAGGUAAUCACGAACACACUGCAAAAUAAAAAAAAAAUGGCAAAGGUCGAAUGAUUGCACAGGUCUUAUAUUGGAAAAUAAGAACAGCGAUAUCUCCUAAAGUAUUUGUAAUUUCUUAUCUCCGCCGGGUUUAAUGAAAAGAGGAAGUUAAAGAGCAUAUAAUAAAAGUAUUUUCGGAUUUUUAACAUUUUUUUUGCAAAUACCUACCGCUAAAGUACAUAUUUACCAACUAUUAUUUUUCACAAACUAGUAGGAAUUACGAAACCAUACCUUCAGGGUAAAUUUAGGGGCGUGUGUAGUGUGUGAAAACCAAGUUUUCAGAUUUUUUUUUAAAUUUCAGUUCUAAAAAGCUGCAAAGUCCGAUAAUUACCUAUGUUUUUGUGAGCUUGCACCAGGCAAGUAGAAAGCUUCAUGUAUGUAUAAUUUCAGGCUUGGCAGUUCAAAUAAAAUUCACAAAAGGUGGGCAGUAAUCCUAUUAUGUAGUUUUUUGGUUUGCUUAACAUUAAUGUUAUAUUCAAGCACAAUAAAUGCUUUAAUUUUUUUAAUGGAGGAACAUGAUGACGUUAUUACUCAUGCCAGAGCAUUACAACAUCUGCUAAAUAAUCUUGUGUAGUUUUAAUACUACGCAACACUAUGAAUAAAGCUUUACAUUUCAUUAACAU